rnacentral:lncRNA from 1 species
UGCUAAUUUUUUUACUAAUCUCUUUAUGCAGACUCUUGACAUGCUGUGCAAAUGACUCUACAGAUUCAGAAAUCUUAGCAUGCAUGGGCAAUGGGAUGAGGUCUAUUGAUUUUCUAGGUUAAUAUCCAUGAACUACUUCAAAAGGACUCAUAUCAAUGGAUCUAUUAACAGAACUAUUAUAUGCAAAUUCAGCUCGGGGC